ensembl:lncRNA
CGCCCCUCCGCAGCCCGGCUGCACUUGGGGCUGCGCGCGUUCUAACCGCCUUCGAGGGCGGCGCUGGAAAGGGUGCUAACCGUCUUAGCAGAUGCUGUGAAACCCAUGAUCCCUGCCAAGAGCAGCAGCCAGAGAGCAAAGCCCCACAGGACAGGGAGCAGUGGUGCAGAGGUGAUCUGCUUGGUUCCAGUGAGGCUCCUGACCUGUGGUUCAAUGGCUCUGGACACAAGUGACUCUGAUCCUAGCAACCAGGCCUGGUGCUGGGAGAUGUGAAUUCUGAGCAUGGAGGGACUCGAAAGUCCAUCACAGUUGGGACCCAGCCUCACCUUGGCCAAGCAGAAAACCUUCCUAGCUGUGUGACCUUGGACAGCUUAAGUAAUUUUUCUGAAGUCAAGAUCUUUAUGACACUUAGGUCAGUUUCCCAAGGCUGAAUCCAGGACACUGAGCCACAAGCAAAAUUUGAAUAACUGAUAAUGAUCAGUGAGCUUGCUGUAUGUCCAGGACCAUGCUAAAUGAGACAUGUGUAUACAUGUAUUUGUAUAUGUAACAAGUGUGUAUACAAACAUACACAUAUAUAUUCUAAUUUAGCAAUCUCAAAAAUCCUAACAGGUGGACAUAUUAUCUUUAUCUUAUAGAUAUGGAGAGAGGUUGAGUAACAUCAAACCUAGUAAGUGGUGGAGGUGGGAUUUGAACAAGGGCAGCUCAUCUCUUCUCCAUCACUUUCACUGCUUCUUCUUUUGGUUAAGUUAUUAGCACUUGAAGCACAGAUGCCAUCCCUUUGGAAACAGAAAAAACCUUGUUUUUAGGCACUUGAAAAUCAUCAUCAGAAAGCAGAAGUCCCCUGUAUUAAAUUCUGCAUGGUAGUGAUAGGGAAAAGUUUUAGGUAACUUAGUAGAGUGAAUAUUAAGGUAGCUGUAGAAGCAAAAUAAGUAAUGUGUUCCUUUAAGAUUUGCUUUUCCCAUUACUCUUGUUGUUUAAGGUGACUUUAAGGUGAUGGUUAUCUGACUCUUUAACCAGUAACUUCAUUAACCUAACAAAGUUACUAUGCCUGGGUGAAUUUACAAUGUAUAUGUGCUUACCUUUUGUCUGUGACUUGUAAAUAGGAACUGGAAUUGUAUUUACACAUCAAAGACCAUUAGGGAUGAGAUAAUGGCUAAAAAGGAUAUGAAAAGGAAACACUGGACAAAGGGGUGCGUGGAUACUAACCAGGCUGAUUUCUGGCGGUCCCACCUGCUUGCAAGUAGAACUUUUAUUAUUUUACCCAAAUUCUGUGUCUCUGUGUAUUUCUUUCCGAGAUUUCUGGAACAAUAGCCAGUGGGGAGCAGAAAUCACACAAUGGCAGCAUAUUCUUCAGGACUGAAGAUAUAGCUCAGUGGCAGAGCACUUGCCUAGCAUGCAGAAGCCCCAAAGUUCAAACACCAGUACCAAAAAAAGAAAAUGUCUUUCACAUCCCAAUUGAUGCCUACCCUAUAUUAAAAUCCCCUGAAAGUGCCGGGGAUUUAGCUCAGUGGUUUCACCACCUACUUCGCAAGCACAAGGACCCAAGUUCUAUCCUCAGUACCAAAAAAAAAAAGGUCAUGCCAAUUAAAGGUGGAACUGAUAUGAAGCAUAAGGGAGUAGAGGCAACCUGCUGAGGAGUGUUGAAUAACCAGAAGACCAGUUAUACCAGUAUUGAAGUGGGAGCAGUAGCUUUAACUAUCAUAAUCUUAUGUGGAUGUAAAGCACCUUGAAAUAAAGUAUGACCAGAGCACUGUUAUUUAUUUUAUCAAUCAUAGUUGUCUUCGAUGUUAAAUUCCUAUAGAAUGUCAACAUAUAAUAAUUAUAAAGUUUUACAGGUAAAAUUUGAGAUCAAGGGCCAGGGAUUUAACUCAGUGGCACUGUGCUUGUCUCGCAAGUGCAAGGUCCUGAGUUCGAUACCUGGUACAAAAGAAAAAAAUUGAGAUCAAGGGC